rnacentral:rRNA from 1 species
UACGGGUGGGGCAAGCGUUGUUCGGAAUUACUGGGCGUAAAGGGCUCGUAGGCGGCCAACUAAGUCAUACGUGAAAUCCCCAGGCUCAACCUGGGAACUGCGUCUGAUACUGGUUGGCUUGAAUCCGGGAGAGGGAUGCAGAAUUCCAGGUGUAGCGGUGAAAUGCGUAGAUAUCUGGAGGAAUACCAGUGGCGAAGGCGGCAUCCUGGACCGGCAUUGACGCUGAGGAGCGAAAGCCAGGGGAGCAAACGGG